AGUUCAUACGUAAUGUAUUUAAACGAUGAUGCACGCGACCGGAAGUAAUCCUUACAGUUACUAUGUAUGUGCAGAUACUUUUAUUCCGUGUGGAACUAUAAAGUGUUUUGGAGGCAUCUGCUGUUCUGUGUGUUUAUCCGACAGCUACAAACUUUAAAAGAGCAACAUGAAGCAGUCUAAACUAUCCGCUGGAAAGCGUCUAACAAAACCGAUUCUUUUUGGCACACUGCUCGUAGGCUUGGCAACAGCGUUUCUCAACAGGCAUGUGUUCAUGGAGGAUCUUGCAGAGCUCAGGGAGCAGGAGCGAGCCCGUAAUGACAUCAAACGACAUGAGGUUCUGGAAAGGAGGCAGAGACAAAUCGAUGAACUUGCAAAGAAAAGUGGAGGGGGCAGUUGAGAUUUCUGCACUCGCAUCUGAUCGGACAACUGCAAAAACCCAGUGCUGAAGAAAAAACAUUGGACAUUUUUGCCACUAAGGUUUUGUGAAGUGUUAGGAUUGUUGCUAUUGCUUUCUACUGAUCAAAUGAUUUGACAGGUUAUUCAUUUACAGCAUCAAAAAUUUGAAGUGUGAAAUGGCAAAAAGUUCUAGAAUAUUCACUGGUCUGGUUGUUUUUGAGACCUGUCUGCAGGGUCAUAAAAUGAAUCUGGAUAAAUAAACAUUUGUUUGCAUUAAAGCCUAAUAACAUUUAGUACAAUACAUUUUCAUUGAUAAAACAAUACAAUAUGAGUCUGUAAGUCUAAGUGAGAACACUACUGUUUAUUUGACCACGCAAAAGUAACAAAGUGCAUCUAUUCAAACCAAACUAAAUAAGAUUUAUUAUUUUCCACCAGAGAAAUCUGUAAAAAAUUAAAGUGUGGACUUUAUAACAAAUACUAGAAGGCUGGGAAACCAACCUGAGACUUACAGGCAAAUGUGUCAUAUUAGUCAGUCGAUUGUCAGUAAUACCAAGACCAAGUGUUUAAAUAGUAAACGUGCUUUAACUAUCCAUAUCAUCUUUCCUGUCCAAGUUCUUGCUUUGUGACACUUGCACCAGUGUGUUUUAAGGAACAUAUAAAUAUGAGGCGUGCAUUAGCAAUAUUAAAGAUUUUGCUACAAAACGGAAACCAGUUUCUGUCACAUAAGUGCACAUUUAAGUCAAAUUUACACAUUUUCUUCCUUUAAUAUACAGCAUAUAUAUCAUAUCUACUUUCAAACACACUUGAAUGUGUUGCACAACAAAUAUUAUUGAUUUCCUUCUGAUUUCACAAAUUUAGCAAUAUAUAGCAAUAAAUACAUUUUCAUAAUGUGGUAAAGGACAUUACAUUCGCAGAGAACAGAGUUUAUAAGUUCAUAUCUAUACAAACAGCAACCAUAAAUAUAUUAGAUGGGUAUAUACAUGUUUAAGAACUAUUAACAAUUACUUAACUAGCAGUAGUGUAGAACACAGCAGCAGAGGGAAAGCAUUAAGUGCUGCUGUUAACCCUGUUGUAACCCACUGUAACCCAGACAGUCGGUAUCAGUAGUGUAUUAAAAGAAAUUGGUAUA